ensembl:lncRNA
CUUUUUAUUGCAAAAGGAGCUUGAAGCUCCAUGUGGCCCGGAUCCCUUGAGCAUCGGGGUCCCAGGCACAAGUGACGGGCGCCUCGACCCCUGGGGGAAAGAGGGACCUUAGGCGCCAAGAGCGUUAUUUCUGGGGAGGAAGGGUCCCCGGUACCCUGAGGAUGUCCUCGCCGCAGAAGAGCUCUCACAGCGGCUCCCGUGGGGCCUGGGAGGCCUCUCUGAGGGGGAGCAGAGCUGAGGUCUAACAUGAGCCCUAGCCGCCCACAUGGGGCGGACGCGCGGACAGGAGGGGCGCUCCUGUGUGCGUGCCUCAUGCUGAGUCGCUUUAGUCGUGUCUGACUCUCUGCAGUCCCGUGGACCGUAGCCUGCCAGUCUCCUCUGUCCAUGGGAUUACCCAGCCUCCAGACACUUGAAAGGUAACCAAGUCAGGUAAUCCCAGUGUUGCAGAUGAGAGCCGAAACAGGAGGGUUUGAGUGAGCAGAAGACUAGGAUGAGCACUGGGUGUUCCUGCUUCUCCAGCCCCUGACUUCCUGCUGGAAUCUGU